ACUUUGGUCCAUCUUGUAAAACCAAGUGUAGCUGAGAAACUGAGGACUAGAAAAGGGAAAAGUGUGGCUAAAAUAAGAACAGCAAGAAGAUUGAAGAAGGCUGUAGGACCCUCAAAAGCCUGGAGUAAAGUUGAGGUUAGGAAAAGGAAAGAAAGAGACAGUUCUGACUCUGAUGAGGAUGUCGAAGACGAUGUUCCAGACAUCUCCCCUGCAAAAAGACAGGUUGUUAAGAAGUCUCCUGGCAAAACUGUUGUUGUGCACCUAGACAAUAUCUCCUUCCAUUUAGAAGAUGGUGCUGCAAAAUGGAAAUUUGUCGUUCAGAGGAGGGUAG
rnacentral:lncRNA from 1 species